AGUGAACGCUGGCGGUAGGCCUAACACAUGCAAGUCGAACGGCAGCACAGGAGAGCUUGCUCUCUGGGUGGCGAGUGGCGGACGGGUGAGGAAUACGUCGGAAUCUACUCUGUCGUGGGGGAUAACGUAGGGAAACUUACGCUAAUACCGCAUACCAGCUACGGGUGAAAGCAGGUGAGCUUCGGACCUUGCGCGAUUGAAUGAGUCGAUGUCGAAUGAGCUAGUUGGCGGGGUAAAGGCCCACCAAGGAGACGAUCCGUAGCGGGUCUGAGAGGAGGAUCAGCCACACUGGAACUGAGACACGGUCCAGACUCCUACGGGAGGAAGCAGUGGGGAAUAUUGGACAAUGGGCGCAAGCCUGAUCCAGCCAGACCGCGUGGGUGAAGAAGGCCUUCGGGUUGUAAAGCCCUUUUGUUGGGAAAGAAAUCCAGCUGGCUAAUACCCGGUUGGGAUGACGGUACCCAAAGAAUAAGCACCGGCUAACUUCGUGCCAGCAGCCGCCGUAA
rnacentral:rRNA from 1 species